rnacentral:misc_RNA from 1 species
UGGCAUAUUUAAUGAACCAUUAGCAAGUGUUUUCACGCCUUGCAGCCAGAUUAUCUGUUUCCUGGGUGGCAAAUCUUGGGAUCCUCAGAAACUGCCAGACUAGGGAACUAGUACACUCAUUGACCUCCGUUGUGAAAUAAAUUAUCAUUUAUACUCCAGCACAACUUGGUCCUUCCAAAAGUGAAAGUUAAAUAAUUCUUCUUUGCAUGUGUCCUCAACUUUAGUUAGGCCAGUGAAGCAUAUUCUUGAUGGAAUUAAUCAGUUGUGCCUGUUGGAUUAACAAAUAGAUCAAAACCUAUUGUGUGUGUAUGAGGCUCUGCUAUGCUGAAAUAUUACCAAGAGAAUGAGAAUUUUACAAAUUAAUUUUCUUAGAUGCUUUACUUUUAGAUCUUGUAAACCAUGAAGUGCUACAUGGAAAGAAUACAGUUAUUGGACAUUUAGACUUGGGAGCAACAUUAUAUUGAUGUAGUUGUACAGAUAU